rnacentral:lncRNA from 1 species
AAUUUUUCUUCUCCAAAAAUUUUACAAUAUGACCGAUUCAUCUAAGCGAUUUAAAUGAAAUAAAGAAAAUAUUUGUGUCACUUGUAGGAAUUAUCGGAACGAAGAAAUCUGAAUUCAGAGAUGUACAACCACAUAUACGCCGUGCUUAAAAUAUCCUCGGCGAAAGUGAUACCGUCGCGCGAUGAAUUAUGAAUACCAUUUUCAUACACAUCCGCCUGUGUCAACACUGUUUCGUAGUAUAAAGCAACUUGACGAUGUACUAUACUUUGCAUAUGAUGCACGGCCACGUUUUUCUUUUCACCGUGUGAGAAUACUCGGAGAGUACCGCGAGACAGACGUUUAUGCUACGAUGUUGGGGAUAACAAUGAGACAGGAAAGAAAUAAAGAAAAAAAAAAAAGAAAGAGGGUAGGGAAUGGGGGUGAAAUUUUAGAACGAGUUUCGGUGAGAGUGAUUUACACCUUGGAAAAACUCUCUGACAUUUACGAUACCUACUCGCGAAUUAUUUAUAGCGGUUACCCGUGACGAUGUGUAACCCUCAAACUAUACUUUUUUACUCCUUUAUUCGCUUUCUUUCUUUUCAUAAGACGACACGACGACAUAUCUUAACGAUAUCAAUAUAUUUUUAUAUAUCUACAAUCUAAUAUCCAGAGUCAAUAAAAUCCGAUAGAAUUUUGUCGAAAAUUCUUUGAUCUUUUCCCUGAUAACUUAUCUGUGAGAUAUAAAAAAAUAUAUCACCUGACAAGUACCAUCGCCUUGUUGGCUAUUAUUUUGUACGUCCUUGACAUUAAUAUUGUAUAAUAGUUUAACUAUUUAUAUAUGUAGGUGGAGCUUUAAUUAAUUUUAAUCUCGAAGUCUCGGAAGAAGAUUCGCUUAGACACCUAUUUAUUUAGCGAACAUAACAAACAAUCGAGCACAGCUUAGAAAUCGAAUCUCUUCGCUAAGAAACGUUCGCCAAGUCUUGUUUAACUUGCACAUGAGCUACGCAAGCGCCAGAAGGAGCUUAUAAGCUUUUUCCCUCCUUACUCUUCCUUCUCUUCAUCUUUCUCUUCUUUCCAUCUCUCUCUCUCUCUCUCUCUUUCUCUAUCUAUCUAUCUCUUUUCCGCUGCCUAUUGAAAACUAUUAUGCACUCAAAGUCCUCUACGGUUUUAGACAGAGUGUGCACAUAAAGGUGUAUUUAAAAUAAAAUAACUUUAUGUACGAUUGGCAAAGAGCUUCGAAAAAGCUACUAUGAUUGCCAGUGUUUUACGAUAGUUUGACUACUCGUGGGCUCAUCAUGAUGGACGAAAUUCCACCGAAGACUCUGUACGUCGGCAAUCUAGAUCACAGUGUUUCUGAAGAUUUGUUGUGUGCGCUGUUCUCGCAAAUCGGUGUUGUCAGAGGCUGCAAAAUCAUCCGAGAGUCUUUGUUCCAGCAGUAGACGGCGGCGACUUCGUAGUUACGACCCUUAGCACGCCAUUAUUGCGAGAUACCGUAGCGUAUUAUCGCUGGCACCUUGAUGGUCCUUAAUAGUUGCAAAGAAAAGCUUUCGAAGACAAGGAUCGAAGUAUAACGUAAA